AUCAGCAAGUUAAAUCUUGGCUCGUGCACAACCAAGACGAAUGGGUAGAAGUACGCAGAAAGUGGAAAUUGUACAGUGUUGUACGCUGCCUGGAGCUGGCUAAAUUAGAAACCAAAACCUGCGCUUCUGUAUUGAAUGAGCUUCCCACGCUACGCAACCACCAAGGAUAUCAACUGAUACAAUUAGAUUUCCAGGAGCGGUAUCCCGGAAAAGAUACGCUUUUAUUCGACCGGUGAUCAAGAUUCGUUGAUGCUUUUCGACCAAUAUUGGAUGUUGAAGUAACAGAUUCCGAAGGGAGGUCUCUCCUAGCUCUUCUCAACAGUGACAACAUAAAUGGAGUCCGAUUCUUAUCCUUCCAGAAAAGGUCCGUUGGAAACCAUCAAUUCAAGAAUCCAAAGAAAGAGUUUUUGUAUGUUCCAAAUCUGUCGUGUUUGGAAGCAACUCUGGCACGGUUGUUUGAUGCAUGGCGUAUUAAAGGAGUGCCUGCAGCACCUUUUAUAGUCGUAUUUGGAGAGAGUGAGACGAACCUGACUGAUUUCAUACUUUGGAACGACACUGUUUCAUACAAAUUUCCAAAUUUUUUGAAGGCACUAGACAUCUGCAUCAAGUUCUACAAAGCAUACGAAAUCGAUUUUCCUCGACAAUCUAGAGCUACUUGGACUUUUUUAAGUGAAUGCUUAUUUGAUUUCACGUGUAGCUCUGAUCUUGCGAACGUUAAAGCGUUACGUUUAGCGAUAGGCAAUAGAAUCUACGAAAAAUGAUCUCAUGCAUUGUAGAGCACUGCAUGUGGCAGACAACAUCACUGCAUCGAUUCUACUGCCAUAUUAACAACAUGCAUAGCAACAUACAAUGUUUUCGAUGCAACAUCGACAAUUGCACGAGGAGCUACAAUAUAAGAGCAUCAUUCAAUGGACACUUUAAGAAACACUUUACCACCGCUGAAGAGAAAAGAUCAAUCCCAAACCACAUUACUUCGAAAGAAAACGUCAAAGAAGUCACAAACAGUGUUUCUAAUUCAAAUGCCGAACUCAAGUCAUCGACCGCAGGAACAGAUCAAAUGAUUCGAAGCAAAACACCAUUGAAAUCAUUAGAAGAAAGUUUGAAUAAAAUUGACGUAAUCGAUCCUGCUGCUCUAACAGAGCAAAUGAAAAAUGUGAUACUUGGUGUGAACCUUAAAUGGUUGAGCAUGCCCACGGUUUCUAGGAAAACUUUUUGAAUUUCAAAAUGAUUUUAAUCAAAAUAUAUUACGUCAGUUAAGGGAGAUUAUUAUUACAAUGUCGUCGAUUGGGUAUAUUGCCUCCGAAGGAAAACAGAUAUUUGAACAAAUCUUUAAUAUGUUUGAUGACCUUAACUCUGAACACAAAUGUUUUGGAAUGCUCAAACGAUAUGACUUGUUAAUGGAACCCAGAGAAUUUUUAAUUAGUAACGAACUACGUGCAGGCGUGUCGCAAAACAAACAAGAAAUCAGCAAUGAUCCCGUAACUGGUUUAUUGAUGCCUAUCAAGUUUCACAUGAAAAAAUAUCUCGAAGCUGAUAAUGUUUUGGAAACAAUUUUGAAAUACCUCGAGCCUUCUAGUGAUGGUUAUAUCCGCAGUUUCGUAGAUGGUACGAUUUGGCAGGAGAGAGUUAACAAUCUCAAAUCCAACGUGGGCGCAAAAAUAGUGCUACCAUUGAAUUUAUUUUUCGAUGAUUUCAAAACAGGAGACACCGCUUCGCCUCACGCCACUCGAACCUCUAUCUGUGGGAUAUAUUAUUAUAUUCCUAGCCUGCCAGGUUAUUUACUAGCGAAACUUGCCAACAUGCAUGUAGCCGGAUUCAUUUUAACAGAAGAUAGAAAACGAU